UACAGAGGGGGGCAAGCGUUGUUCGGAAUUACUGGGCGUAAAGGGCGCGUAGGCGGCCUUCUAAGUCGAACGUGAAAUCCCCCGGGCUCAACCCGGGAACUGCGUCCGAGACUGGAGGGCUUGAAUCCGGGAGAGGGAUGUGGAAUUCCAGGUGUAGCGGUGAAAUGCGUAGAUAUCAGGAGGAACACCGGUGGCGAAGGCGGAUCUCUGGGCCGUAACUGACGCUGAGGAGCGAAAGCAUGGGUAGCGAACAGG
rnacentral:rRNA from 1 species